GUUGUGCCCAGUUGGUAGAGUGCUUGUGUUACAUGCACAAGGUCCUGGGUUCAAUCCCCAGCAUCACA
rnacentral:tRNA from 1 species